AUCCAGCUGACGAGUCUCACAUAGGACGAAACGUAAGUCCUUGAU
rfam:Schistosoma mansoni strain Puerto Rico chromosome 1, complete genome